AAAUGUUGAUAGAAAACUUAUAUUUUCAUUUUCUAGACGUGGUAAAACUUUCAAAAUAUUUAAGCCAUUUUUAAUUUUUAAUUAGACAUUUUAAUUUUGCGAGUCUUUUACUUAGUAUUUAUUCGGUAGGUACUUUGUGAAUAAAAUUGUUUGACCAAACAGAAAUGCUUGACAAUUUAAAUAGAAGGUUCAUUAUGAGUUAUACUUAGUGGUCAACAAGAAAAAUUUGAUU